AUUGAACGCUGGCGGCAUGCUUUACACAUGCAAGUCGAACGGUAACAGGCCUUCGGGUGCUGACGAGUGGAGAACGGGUGAGUAAUGCAUCGGAACGUACCCAGAGGUGGGGGAUAACGCAGCGAAAGCUGUGCUAAUACCGCAUGUGAUCUGAGGAUGACAGCGGGGGACCGAGCAGCAAUGUUUGGCCUCGCGCCUUUGGAGCGGGCGAUGUCGGAUUAGCUAGUUGGAGGGGUGAAGGCCUACAAAGGCGACGACCCGUAGCUGGUCUGAGAGGACGACCAGCGACACUGAGACUGAGACACGGCCCAGACGCCUACGGGAGGCAACAGUGGGUGAUUUAGGACAGUUGGCGCAAGCCUGUUCCAGCAAUGCCGAGUUCGGGAAGAAGGCCUUCGGGUUGUAAACCGCUUUUGGCAGGAACGAAACGGUGUCCGCUAAUACCGGGCGCUAAUGACGGUACCUUCAGAAUAAGCACCUGCUGACUACGUG
rnacentral:rRNA from 1 species